UUAAGCUAAAUCGAUAAAUAAAACUGAUUCUAAAAGCUAUUAUAAUAGGCUAUAAGAUAAAAUUAAAAAAACAUAUUUAUUUAAAUAUGCUUUUUUACCGAAAUGUUGACCGGAAGUCUUUCUUAGUGUGACUCUGGCAACACAUUUUUGAACAUUAAAACUUAAAUUCACGAAAAAGCAUAUAACCCGGUCAAAGUCUGUAAAUUGAUUCUUGAAGACAUUUAAAUGACACAUAAUAUGAUAUAAACAAAAAAAUAAAUAUAUUACUAUAAAAGGGCAAAAGUUGACCGGAAGUCACCCUUGUACAUAAAUAUAGAAGUGAAAUUUUCAACUUUGAAUUAAAAUUCACAUAAAUAUAAAAAGCCCGGUCAAAUUCUGUAAAUUGAUUCUUAAAGACAUUUAAAUGA
rnacentral:lncRNA from 1 species